rfam:Picea glauca, whole genome shotgun sequence.
UAAGUGGGCUUGAUUGUUGGGAAAACUCCCCAGUUAAGCGCGCUUGAGCCAGAGGCGUCUUGGGAUGGGUGACCACCUGGGAAAUCCUGGUUACCGAGUGAA